rnacentral:lncRNA from 1 species
CAAUCCACUAAUAAAUACAUUAGAGCAUAACAAUCCAGUCUCUGUAUUGUUAAGGUUAAUUGAACGAAUAUGCCAGAAGAUUGACAAUAACAUGAAAUUCCAUUGGACGCCUCACUAGCUCAUCUUCACAGCUUACUUGGAUACUCAUGUAUUCUCCUCACAGCAAGCUGUGAAGAUGAGAGCCAGAAACAUUUUUCCUCACAGCAACUCUGAGAUGCAGCAAUCCAACUGCGGCCUUGUUUGGAUACUCUAUGUAUUAUCCUCAAUCCAUGUGUUGAAAUAGUUUAGGCCUUGUUUAGUUCACAAAAUUUUUUAUUUUUGGGUACUGUAGCAUUUCGUUUUUAUUUAACAAACAUUGUCCAAUCACGGAGUAACUAGGCUCAAAAGAUUCAUCUCACAAAUUACAGGUAAACUGUGUAGUUAGUUUUUAUUUUCGUUGGUAUUUAAUGCUCCAUGCAUGCGACUAAAGAUUCGAUGUGAUGGGAAAUCUAGAAAAUUUUUGCGAACUAAACAAGGCCUUAGUGUUAAAUUUAAACCAAAUUCCACACCAAAACACUCGAAACAAUGCCUACAUGGUUAGAUAAACUCGUAAACUCUGAUGCAUUAUUAGCAACCGAAUAUGAAACAUCAGCCAGCUAUUAGAACUGUACCCUGACUACAGCCUCCCAAAAUCAUCACAAAUAGCAGCUCG